rnacentral:rRNA from 1 species
AAGACCUUGCACUUUUGGAGCGGCCGAUGUCUGAUUAGCUAGUUGGUGGGGUAAUAGCCUACCAAAGCUUCGAUCAGUAGCUGGUCUGAGAGGACGGCCAGCCACACUGGGACUGAGACACGGCCCAGACUCCUACGGGAGGCAGCAGUGGGGAAUUUUGGACAAUGGGCGCAAGCCUGAUCCAGCCAUGCCGCGUGAGUGAAGAAGGCCUUCGGGUUGUAAAGCUCUUUCAGCCGGGAAGAAAAGGUUGCGACUAAUAAUCGCAAUUCAUGACGGUACCGAAAGAAGAAGCACCGGCUAACUACGUGCCAGCAGCCGCGGUAAUACGUAGGGUGCGAGCGUUAAUCGGAAUUACUGGGCGUAAAGGGUGCGCAGGCGGUUUUGUAAGUCAGAUGUGAAAUCCCCGGGCUUAACCUGGGAACU